rnacentral:rRNA from 1 species
GACGAACGCUGGCGGCGUGCUUAACACAUGCAAGUCGAACGGAGUGGCGAACGGGUGAGUAACACGCGGGUGACCUGCCCUGCAUUUCGGGAUAAGCCUGGGAAACUGGGUCUAAUACCGGAUAGUGUGGGAUGGGGCCGCGGUCUACCAGCUUGUUGGUGGGGUAAUGGCCUACCAAGGCGGCGCCGGGUCGCCGGCCUGAGAGGGUGAACGGCCACAUUGGGAAUGAGGAACGGGCAGGAGGACUACGGGAGGCAGCAGUGGGGAAUAUAGCGCGAUAGGCGGAAGGAUGAUGCAGCGACGCCGGGUGGGGAAGGACGGCCAUCGGGUAGUAAACUCCUUACGCCAUCAACGCGGUAAAUAGAGAAGAAGCACCGGCUAACUACGUGCCAGCAGCCGCGGUAAUAC